AGUACACUGUGUUAUAUCCUGUUUUCUUAGUGACUCAUUUCUGCCGUUUGUCUGUAUCUUUCUCUGUCUGUUGGCAGCCAUGCGCGUCUGCGUUGCAUGUGUACCUGUAACAGGUGUACCUUCUAUCUGUGUCAGAACUUUCUUCAACUCUGAGCUCGUGCAGACGGUUCAGACCAAACUCUACACGGUCAUCUUUAGCAACUUCUCAGGCAUAUUACCCAUGCUGACCUGAAUAGCUCUACGUUUUGGGUCAAGAGCGAGUGUUGGAGCCACAGUUUGUGCUAUGCUUGGCUUUGUCAUGUACAGAGCCCUCCUCAGAUCUCGAUGAGCAGAACCAAAAACUUACUUCGUUCAUUUCCUAUCUGCCCUAGUUAUUUCCCAUGUACAGGGAAAACCAACAGAAAUGUAUACAGUUUUUAAAAAGGAGGCACAAAGCAACAGCUGUUAUAUUUCUAUUUAAUUAUUACUGUAUGUACAUUCCCAGGUCUUGGGACUCUAUUUGAGACAUUAAACUAGGAUGUUUUUCAUGAACUAUGAUUCAAGCAAACUGUAAAUAUGUUGAGAGACAAAGUGAAUAAAAACAUAUGGCAUUCAUAUUUAAAGCCAACAAAUUCAACAUUUUUGUUGGUCUCACUUUUGUCUCAAAAUGUCUGAUGGACUGUUUACAGUCCAAAAUCAACCAAGUGUGAGACAAGACAGGAAGCCACAUCUUCUGCAUGUGAAAAAUGAAGCGGUGCAAACACUCUCAGUCUUCUAUAAUUUAUUUGCAUGCUUUAAUAUUUGACAUAAUGUCUAAACGAAACAAUAAUGUGAAAGUCUGUCAACUGUAUUUUUUCCCCUUUGUUAGUUUCUGCCUCUUCCCAAGUUUUCAAUAAACAGGUCCUUCAACAAUG